CCAGCAUCUCUCCCGUGUUUUGUCGAUGUGGGAUUUGCCUAGGCUGUUACAAUUUGGUAUCAGAGCUGGACUCCCUCUAGUACGGUGUGUGGUGCGAGGAUGCACCAGGCGGAAGCUGGUGGGCUUGUCACGACCCAGGGAUGGGGUUGGGACGUGCUUGUUCAACCAGCUACACACUGGGGUGGAAACUUCGUGUCCCACAUCGAAAAUGGGAAGAAAAGAUU